rnacentral:rRNA from 1 species
AUUGAACGCUGGCGGAAUGCUUUACACAUGCAAGUCGAACGGCAGCACGGGGGCAGCCCUGGUGGCGCGGGGCGAACGGGUGUGUCAUACAUCUGAACGUGCCCGGUCGCUGGGGAUAACGUAGCGAAAUGUACGCUAAUACCGCAUACGACCUGAGGCUGAAGGCGGGUGACCGUCGGGCCUUUCGCGUUGGGAGCGGCCGAUGUCAGAUUAGGUAGUUGGUGGGGUAAAGGCCUACCAAGCCGACGAUCUGUAGCUGGUCUGAGAGGACGACCAGCCACACUGCGACUGAGACACGGCCCAGACUCCUGCGGGAGGCAGCAGUGGGGAAUUUUCGACAAUGGGCGGAAGCCUGAUCCAGCCAUUCCGCGUGCAGGACGAAGGCCUUCGGGUUGUAGACUGCUUUUGUACGGAACGAAAAGGCUCUGGCUAAUACCUGGGGCUCAUGACGGUACCGUAAGAAUAAGCACCGGCUAACUACGUG